AGUGAACGCUGGCGGUAGGCCUAACACAUGCAAGUCGAACGGCAGCACAGUAUGAGCUUGCUCUUACGGGUGGCGAGUGGCGGACGGGUGAGGAAUACAUCGGAAUCUACUUUUUCGUGGGGGAUAACGUAGGGAAACUUACGCUAAUACCGCAUACGACCUACGGGUGAAAGCAGGGGAUCCUCGGACCUUGCGCGAUUGAAUGAGCCGAUGUCGGAUUAGCUAGUUGGCGGGGUAAAGGCCCACCAAGGCGACGAUCCGUAGCUGGUCUGAGAGGAUGAUCAGCCACACUGGAACUGAGACACGGUCCAGACUCCUACGGGAGGCAGCAGUGGGGAAUAUUGGACAAUGGGCGCAAGCCUGAUCCAGCCAUACCGCGUGGGUGAAGAAGGCCUUCGGGUUGUAAAGCCCUUUUGUUGGGAAAGAAAAGCAGCAGGUUAAUACCCCGCUGUUCUGACGGUACCCAAAGAAUAAGCACCGGCUAACUUCGUG
rnacentral:rRNA from 1 species